AUACGGAGGGUGCGAGCGUUAAUCGGAAUUACUGGGCGUAAAGCGUACGUAGGCGGUUUGCUAAGUCAGAUGUGAAAGCCCGGGCUUAACCUGGGAACUGCAUUUGAUACUGGCAGACUAGAGUAUGAUAGAGGGGGGUAGAAUUCCUGGUGUAGCGGUGAAAUGCGUAGAUAUCAGGAGGAAUACCAGUGGCGAAGGCGGCCCCCUGGAUCAAUACUGACGCUGAGGUACGAAAGCGUGGGGAGCGAACAGGAUUAGAAACCCUAGUAGUCC
rnacentral:rRNA from 1 species